CUUAGCUCAGUUGGAUAGAGCAACGGCCUUCUAAGCCGUGGGUCACAGGUUCGAAUCCUGUA
rnacentral:tRNA from 1 species